GGUAGAUGAUCUCCAUACUGAGAUUACCCAGAAUCCCUCACCUCUCCAGUCAGCAGGUAGAUGAUCUCCAUAAUGACAUUACCCAGAAUCCCUCACCUCUCCAGUCAGCAGGUAGAUGAUCUCCAUAAUGACAUUACCCAGAAUCCCUCACCUCUCCAGCCAGCAGGUAGAUGAUCUCCAAACUGACAUUACCCAGAAUCCCUCACCUCUCCAGUCAGCAGGUAGAUGAUCUCCAUACUGACAUUACCCAGAAUCCCUCACCUCUCCAGUCAGCAGGUAGAUGAUCUCCAUACUGACAUUACCCAGAAUCCCUCACCUCUCCAGCCAGCAGGUAGAUGAUCUCCAUCCUGACAUUACC